rnacentral:ribozyme from 1 species
UUUGUUUAUGUUUCCUUUUUCCUUCUUUUUUUUGGGAUUGUUUGGUGGUUUCGUUAUAGUGGCGCCCCGAAAAACAAUGCAAGCAAGGGAUGGGGAGUUGUACUUCAAGAUGAAG